rnacentral:rRNA from 1 species
AUACGGAGGGUGCGAGCGUUAAUCGGAAUUACUGGGCGUAAAGCGUGCGUAGGCGGUUGAUUUAGUCAGAUGUGAAAGCCCCGGGCUCAACCUGGGAACUGCAUUUGAAACUGGUCAACUGGAGUAUGGUAGAGGGGGGUAGAAUUUCUGGUGUAGCGGUGAAAUGCGUAGAUAUCAGAAGGAAUACCGAUGGCGAAGGCAGCCCCCUGGACCAAUACUGACGCUGAGGUACGAAAGCGUGGGGAGCAAACAGGAUUAGAAACCCGGGUAGUCC